rnacentral:rRNA from 1 species
UACGAAGGGGGCUAGCGUUGCUCGGAAUUACUGGGCGUAAAGCGUGCGCAGGCGGUUCGCUAAGACAGAUGUGAAAUCCCCGGGCUUAACCUGGGAACUGCAUUUGUGACUGGCGGGCUAGAGUAUGGCAGAGGGGGGUAGAAUUCCACGUGUAGCAGUGAAAUGCGUAGAGAUGUGGAGGAAUACCGAUGGCGAAGGCAGCCCCCUGGGCCAAUACUGACGCUCAUGCACGAAAGCGUGGGGAGCAAACAGG